rnacentral:lncRNA from 1 species
GUGGCUUUAAUUGCUUUUCGUGAAUGUUAAUCACAUUGAUCAUCUUUUCUUAUGCUUACUUAAGUAUAUAUGCUUAAGUCUGUAUAUCUUCUUUGAAGAGAUGUAUUUUUAUUUGUUUUUUUAUUUUCUAGUUGAGUAGUUUGAUCUUUCAUUGUUGAGUUUGAAAGUUUUUAUAUACUUUUUAUAUUCUAGUCCAUUAUUGGAUGUGAAGUUUGCAAGUAUUUAGUUCAUCUGUAAAUGGUUUUUAAUAGUGUCUUUUGUAAGGAAAACAUUUUUAAUGUUGAGGAACAUGCAGCUUAACAGUGUUUUCUUUUUAUUACUUAUUCUUUUGAUGUCAAUUCCAAUAUCUCUGCCUACCCUUAGAUACUGAAAAAAAAUUCUCCAUAUUUUCUAAGAGUUUUAUAGUGUUUGCUUUAUAGUUGACACUGUGACACAUUUUGAGUUGAUUUUUGAUAUUUUUAUAAGAUGUGAGACUUAAGACUUUUUUUGCCAAUGGAUAUGCAAUUUAUACAUCAGUAUUUGUUGAAAAUGUUAUUCUGCUUCAUAGAGUUAAUUUUGUAUCUAUAUAAAAAAUCAGCCGAGCAUAUUUGUGUGACACUAUUACCAGGUUCUCUUGUAUUUUGUUGCUGUAUUGUUCAGUAAUACACAUAGCCCUCAUUAAUACUGCUAUAUGAUGUUUUAAAAUCAGGAAGAUUGUUUCCUCCCUCAUUAUUCUUGCUUUAACUACUCUAGUUCUUUUGAUGCUGCAUAUGAACUUUAGAAUCACAUUAUCUACAUCCACAAGAAAUCUUGCUCAUAUCUUGAAAAGAAUUGCAUUAAACCUGCAACUCAGGAGGCUGAGGCAGGAGGGUUGCAAAUUUCAGGCCAGCCUCAGCAAUUUAGUGAAGCCCUGACAAACUUAGUGACAUUCUGUCUCAAAAUAAAAAAUAAUGACUGGGGAUGAGGCUCAGUGAUUAAGCACCCUGGAUUCACUCUCUAGUACUUCAAAUAAAUCAAAACAGUAACAACAACCCCUCUGCCCCCCCCAAAAAGAAGGAGGCUCCAGAAAACCAUAAAAAAGAAUUUGUAAUGGUGAACAUUCAAAUAAGAAUUAUUGAAUAUGCAGGAAAAUGUCACACUUGAAUAU